ensembl:lncRNA
AUAAGACCAACACAAUACACUCUUACCAGAUAAGCCAUUAGUUUGAUGGAUGAUUGUAAUUUUACAUUUAUGUCAGGAAGUGCAUUUCUAAAAUUCUGAUAUUUUCUUAAUCCUGGAGUUGUGUGUCUACCUGGAUGUCCUGUGUUCUUGCAGUCACAACACUGCAGCUAAGCACCAUGCUGUCAUUCCCAGCAAAAUCAUGAGUCUAUUAAAAGUCCUUACCUUCAUUCACGUCCUGGUCAAGUACACAAGAUGCUCUAUUACAACAGCUACAAAAUUCAGCUCAGGUUUACAGCAGUCUCUGAGGCCACAAAAUAUUAUUCCAUACAGAGCUGAGGAGAUAUGGAUCAUUGUUUCCAUUAUAGACUGUUCUGUGUGGAUACUGUCAAUCUGUUUCUAUAGAAAAUAAGAAAGAAGAAAAACAAGAUCCACAAACUUGAACCAGCCUCUUUCACAGCUCCUGGGCUAACCCAGCCUGGGUGAAACAAAGCACAAGUGUUCACAAUGAAGAGUGAUGUGUUGACUAUGUGGGUCCCAGUGCAUACACCUGAGUUGGGAUAAGAGAGUCACAGCACAGGCAGAAUGCACAUGGUCGGAACCAGAAGGGACACAGUAAGCUUGUCUGAUCCCAGUGAAGACAGUUCCCAGCUGCUGUCCAUCAGCUUCUGAAAUUUUUCAGUGAUAUUACGAUGGUUUGUACCAGGGCAGAGCCUCUUCAGAACUCAAAAGAAAUACAGCUGUGAAGAUUCUGUUUCCAUCUGACAUGCAACCCUCCCAGCUGAAAGAGUUUUACUUCCUUCACUGGAUAGCCAAAACAUCAGAUACGUGAGGAAAAGAGGAAACUGGUCUGGAUAUUAGUACAGAAAAGAUCACUCAGAAACUGAUAUCAUCCUGCUGUUCUGUAUGUAGGGGUUCCCUGCACUACAGAGUGAAUAAGAUGAAAAGAGGCCACUCUAGUUUUACAAUACAUACCAUUUUAUAUUUUAAUACACAGGAAAAAAAAUGUAUUAAACAAGCUUUCUGUUUCUCUGAAUAAAAUGUAAAAACUUCUUCUAUCUCCUUGUCUGUUUGUCAAAGGAAGAUGUCACAGAAGAAAUCAACAUAACUGUGGAUAAAUAGGAUUCAUCUCUGACCAUGUUGGUAAUGUCAUCCUUGGGUCUCUAGUAUAGCCCUUCUCUGCCAUACUACUGCCAGCAUACUCAGCCUAAAGUCCAUGCUAAAUUAGCACAGAUUAAACAUUACAGAUAUUUCAGGAAGUCGCAUUUAUGCACACUUUCAAAAGGCAAAAAUUAUGUGAUUUUUCACGCCCCUGGCAUUUGUAAGGCUCUUUGCUCUGAAUUGCAAAGCUUGCAAUUCAAAGUCUGAAUUGCUUCAUGAUGCAUACAACUCAUCCCACCUAAAAUGAUUUAAAUAAAACCCAUUUAAAAAAAAAAAAUGGGAUAAUUCAUAACACUUAGUUUAGGAACUCAUACAUUGCUUGGCUUGUAAUAAACUGUCAGGGCAUAUUAGUUUGAGAAAAAUCUCUGUGAAUCAAUUUAAAUUGUAAGCACUUAUGUGUUGUCUUUACAAGAGAGAAGCGAUAAUACUGCCUAACGAUGCUUGCACUGCUGUCACCACUGUUACAGCACUAAAGUAAAUUAGCUUACACAUUAGAUUAUGCAAUCAAAGGCAGCUCAUGUAACUAUUCAGUAAAACUGAGGAGAAAACAUCGACCCAUCAAAAACUUCUCAGAAUUAAAAAAGAAAUCUAAUUUUACAUGGCAAUCUGAGACCUUUGCUUUUUCCACAGAAAAUAUCAGAAUUUGAGAGUCAUUUAUAGGUAAAGGAUUCCUCUGGAGAGUAGGAAACCCUAGUUUAGAGCAUCUUCCUGCUUAAAUUAAAAGACUUGGCCUGAAAAGUAGAACCUGGGUUCCACUUUUAUCUACCCAUAUCUCAAAUAAAUACUGCAAACACCACACUGGUCUGGGACCAGCUGGCCUCCCUACCCCAGAAUAUGCAAAGUGGUGGGAACUGUGACAUUCCUGGUGAUUGCUCAUUUCACUGUGUUGUAAAGAAUCAGUUGCUAAGCCUGACUAAGUGAAUGUUAUGUCUGUGGAAACUUUAUUUCUCCUUCUAGAAAGCUUUUUACAGACAUCCCCCUCACUUCAUCGUUUUCAGUGAGCAAGGACUUGCAGUGGCACAGUGUAAAUGUUACAGUCUUAUCCUGCACCAUUUCCUCCCCAGGUGAUGGGGAGGAGCAUCUGGUACUGCCUUCCAGCUGUCCUCCACCUCAGCUCUUGAGGACUGUGUGCUCAACUUGGAGUUUUACUUGAAUGUACUUCAAAAUUGUUG